GUGUGUGCGCGCGUGUAUGUGUGUGUGCGUGUGUGUGCGCGCGCGAGUGUGUGAGUGCGGUUUCAUGUGUGUGACUGUAUGGGUGCGCGCGUGUGUGUGCGUGCGUCGUCCCUCCCCCGCCCGUCGUGGCCCGAGACCCGAGCAAGAGCCUAGGGCCCCAGGGCCGGGACAGUUCCAGCAGCAGCGCCACCAGCUCCAGCGCCGCGCACUCUCCCUCGACCUGGGGUCAAGAUUCGGGCGAGACCCUAGCGUCACAGCAACCUGGCCGGAGCAGGAAACUGGGGUGGGGGAGUAGGGAAAAAGACGGGCAGGUGGGGUCCCAGAUCUCUCACUCCCUGGAGCGGUCAGUAAUCAGGCCAAGGUUGGAGACUGGGGAGGGCUGAGCUACAGCCUGGUAGGCUGGGCAACUCCUGCUGGGCAGGAGGCGGGGCGGGGUGGGGCAGCGCUCUGGGACUGGGAUGCUCUCCUCCCCGGAGGUUCGAGUGUUUGUGUCUUUCAGCUUUCGGACAGCGCCUGGGGCCUGCGCCGGGGAAGGACUAAAGGAAGGCUUGCUCCGGAACCAGGAGAAAAGACCACCGGAGAGGGAGCCGAGCUGUGAGUCUGGAAAGAUUUAACAUCCCAACGCUGGCAAUGUACUAUCGUGGCAUUCUGCUUCGCCCCUCUUCUGCCAGCCUCAAAGCCCAGGGCUGCUCAAAAUGGUAGAGAAACGCAGCCUGGACCUACCUUAACCAAAGGACCUCUUUUCAGCACAGUUCCCUGGAAACAGAAGAUGAGAAAACUGAGGCUCCGUAUGGACUUGUCACAUAGUAAGUGGUAAAGGCGGAAUUUCAACUCAUAUUUCUAACUCCAAGUUCAGUGAUAUUUCUGGACUACAACAGGUUGCCUAUCAAAAUCUGACUAGCAGGAAAUGUGUCUUGUUUGGACCUCAGGGUUUCUGCACUCUCUCACAAAAUCCUUGAUGCAAGAAUCCAGCAAGAACCCCUCUCCUCGACCCCAUUUCCAUAUGACGCAGAGUAUCAUCUCUCCAGCACUCAACUGAAUCCUCUGGAGAUAAUUCCAGACAUGGCAGAGAAUAAAUCCUUCUUUAAGACUUGUAGCACAUCUUUCUCUUCUGUGUCUUUUUUGCUUCUCAAACUAUCUUCUUUUCAUCCACCCCAAGACUCAUAAAUCAGAUAUUCAGCCCCUUGGAUUUGAGUGUGAACACAGAGAAAUACAGCACUGGCUCCUCUCCUUCCCAGUUGGAGACUGAGAGGU